UACGUAGGGUGCGAGCGUUUAAUCGGAAUUACUGGGCGUAAAGCGUGCGCAGGCGGCUUGCUAAGACAGGUGUGAAAGCCCCGAGCUUAACUUGGGAAUGGCGCUUGUGACUGGCAGGCUGGAGUGUGGCAGAGGGAGGUGGAAUUCCACGUGUAGCAGUGAAAUGCGUAGAGAUGUGGAGGAACACCGAUGGCGAAGGCAGCCUCCUGGGCCAACACUGGACGCUCAUGCACGAAAGCGUGGGGAGCAAACAGG
rnacentral:rRNA from 1 species